AUUGAACGCUGGCGGCAUGCUUUACUCAUGCCAGUCGAACGGCAGCGCGGGCUUCGGCCUGGCGGCGAGUGGCGAACGGGUGAGUAAUACAUCGGAACGUGCCCAGUAGUGGGGGAUAGCUCGGCGAAAGCCGGAUUAAUACCGCAUACGACCUGAGGGUGAAAGCGGGGGAUCUUCGGACCUCGCGCUAUUGGAGCGGCCGAUGGCAGAUCAGCUAGUUGGUGGGGUAAAGGCCUACCAAGGCGACGAUCUGUAGCUGGUCUGAGAGGACGACCAGCCACACUGGGACUGAGACACGGCCCAGACUCCUACGGGAGGCAGCAGUGGGGAAUUUUGGACAAUGGGCGAAAGCCUGAUCCAGCAAUGCCGCGUGUGUGAUGAAGGCCUUCGGGUUGUAAAGCACUUUUGGCGGGAACGAAAAGGACUGUGCCAAUACCACGGUUCGAUGACGGUACCCGCAGAAUAAGCACCGGCUAACUACGUG
rnacentral:rRNA from 1 species